rnacentral:sRNA from 1 species
GCCUUCUCGCCCCUGAUGCGGCGCGCGAGCUGGAUGUCCUUGGGCAUGAUGGUGACGCGUUUGGCAUGGAUAACACAGAGGUUGGUGUCCUUGAAGAGCCCCACAAGGUAGGUCUCGGCAGCCUCCUGCAGCGCAACCACGGCAGAGCUCUGGAAGCGAACAUAGGACCUAACGUCCUGCGCGAUCUCCUGCACCAGCCGCUGGAAGGGGAGCUUGCGGAUUAGCAGCUCUGUGCUCUUCUGGUAUGUGCGGAUCUCUCGGAGUGCGACGGUCCCUGGCUUGAAGCGGUGUGGCUUCUUCAGCCCUGCCAUCGUCGGUGCUGACUUGCGUGCCACCUUCAUCACCAGCAGCUUCCUCGGCACAUUGCUGGCGGUGGACUUCUUCGCCGUCUGCUUUGUGCGGGCCAUCUCUCACCGAAGGAGAAAGAGAGGAGAAG